rfam:Trichophyton benhamiae CBS 112371 contig01293.0, whole genome shotgun sequence.
CAGCCUUUGCCAACACUCUGGCCUGUACCGGCGCGAAUGUUUUCAUUUGAGCAAAAUCUCUACGGUACUGGCCUAUUUUGGUGCAAAGGAGAUCGAGUGACCAACUACUCACCGCAGUAUCCUGGAUGGUGCUCGGGUAUGGUUUCCUUUCGGGGAAAUACAUGUCCAUGCAUCUAUCUUGUGGAUGCGGUGGUCCAUCUUGAAGGUCUACAU